UGUAAAUUGUUCAUCGCCGUGUUAUUAUCCUUCGUAUGGUCGUAGAUGCCAAACAAACUGUAUCUGUAGAAAGGAACUAUGUGAUAUAGCAACAGGAUGUCGAACGGUCACAACGGAUGAUCAACUUACACAAAAAGCCAUUUAUUGGUUUCAUGGUGUGUAGGACUAGUCGUGGUUGUGAUGAGAAGACGCUUAACUGGUGGUUUUAUUUUAUAACAUUCAGGAACUUAAAAGAAAACAACAACGAACAAAUGCGGUUUAUUAAACUAUUAUACAUUGCAAUUAAAACAUUUAUCAUUUAUUGAGAACAAAGUAAGAACAUACGUUCUUGUGUCUUUGAAGAAUGUAUGUAUGAAGUCUAUGUAUGACUUCUAGAUUAUUAUUUUUUCAAGAUUUUCUUUCUAAAACAGUAUUCAUAUAAAAACAAGCAUGGUUUAAUAAUUUUACGUAGGAGACAAAUGAACUUGAAUUUGCUUUUACAGUAUAAUUAUGAUUUGUUUUAUUUAGUUACAUUGUUCGACUUCAUAACCAUCGUUGUUGAUAAAAAAAAACGAAUUG
rnacentral:sRNA from 1 species